UUUUUUUUUUUUUUUUUUUUUUUUUUGUAAUGACCACACCCAUAGCACAUGGAAGUUCCCAGGCCAAGGAUUGAAUCCAAGCUGUAGCUGUGACCUACACCACAGCUGCCAGCAAUGCUGGAUCAUUUAACCCUCUGUGCUGGGCCAGGGAUCAAACCUGCACCUCUGAAGUGACCUGGGCCACUGUAACCAGAUUCUUAACUUCUGUGCCACAGCGGGAACUCCUGUCCGGGCUUUUUAUGUGAUUCAUUUCCACGAGUUACGGACAGAUGGAUGGUUGUCACUGGGUCUUUCUUGCAGAGAGCUCGAAGGAAAUUCUACACAGCAAGGAGGCUGGGAGCUUUCUUUGGUAUUUAUUUUGGUGGCAGUUUGCAUCCCUCCAUCCCUUUGGUGCCCCCCAUUCUCUCCCCACCUGCGUCCCCCACAAGACUCUCAGGACAGGUCUCCAUUGGUCUGUAUCCCAAGGCUCCCAUGCUUGUCACAGCAACAUCUCUUACAUUUCUUAGAAAGAAAUUUAUCCUAAGCAGCAACAUCCUGGAAACAUAACUAGUUUCUACCACUGGCUUCAUGAGAGAAAGGAAGUUCACGACAUUACACAAGGAAAUUGUUAAUGUUGAGAAAUAAACUCUUAUAUUGACCUUCUGAUGUAAGACAAAACUUUCUGAUGGGGGGUGGGCAGGCAUGCUUGGUUGAGGCAAAUGCCAGCAUUUCUCCACCAGCUCCAUCACUGGACCAUGAGGAAAAAAAAGGAAUCCUCAAUCUCACAGCUGCUUAGUUCCCGACAGCUCUUAUCAUGGUUCAUUUCCAUCCUCAAGGUUCUGCAGCCAGAAGCAGAGAGGCCCCACCAGCCAGAAGGACUGUCCCUUUCCUCAGGUCUAUUAGCCUGUUUACAGGACAGCUUCAUUCCCUGGCCAGCCAGAGGAAAUCUUCCCACGCUCCUCACCCACCAAGUUUCUUCCAUUGCAAAAGCAAAUGCCUCUUGCAAAAAACAUUCAUCUGUUCUCACGGCUUCCCCAGGCAGAGGUACUGUGCCUGGGAAAAUAGCCCAUCCCCAUAGCUCAAGAGAGGCAAGGGAAAGCCCGGGGGAGAACAAGCCAGGGGGAAAAAAAAAUGUGGCUUAAAAAAAAAAAAAAAUACAGACACACACAUGCCAGAAAACAGCAAGUGUCGGAGAAUAUGUGGAGAAAUUGGAACCCUUGUACAUUGUUACUUGGAAUGUAAAAUGAUGCAGGCAGUAUGGAAAACAAACUUAAAAUAGAAUUUCCAUAUGAUCCAGACCUUCCCCUUCUGGGUAUACCCCCAAAAAAUUGAAAGUAGUCAAAGAUAUAUUUGUUCUCCCAUGUUUGUUGCAGCUAAUUCGCAAAAACCAAAAGAUGGAAGUCACCCAGUGGCCAUGGCAGAUGAAUGGAUACGCAAAAUGUGGUCUAUACAUUCAGCCUUAAACUCGAAACAAGAUUCUGAAGCAUGCUAUGAUGGGCAUGAACCCUAAGGACAUGAUGCUAAGGGAAAUCAGCCAAUGACAAGAGGACAAAUCCUGUCUGAUUCCCUGUAUAUGCAGCACCUAGAGUGGUCAAAAUCCUAGAGACAGGAAGUAGAACACUGGUUGCCAGGAGCUGGGGGUUGAGGGAAUGAGGAGUUAUUGCCUAAUGAGUACGGAGUUUCAGUUGCAAGGACGAAAACAGUUCUACAGACAGAUAGUCACAAUAUUAUGACUGUAUUUAAUGUCACAGAGCUAUACACUUAAAAAUGGUUAAGAUGUGGAGUUCCCGUGUGGCUCAGUGGGUUAAGAAUCCAACUAGUAUCCAUGAGGAUGCAGGUUCUAUCCAUGGCCUCACUCAGUGGGUUAAAGGACCCAGCAUUGCCCUGAGCUGCGGUGUAGGUCACAGAAGUAGCUCGGAUCCCACAGUGCUGUUGGGAUCUUCAACCCACUGAGCGAGGCCAGGGAUCAAAACUGCAUCCUUACAGAGACAACGUUGGGGCCUUAACUCACAACGGGAACUCCUUUAGCCUUCAUUUUAUUUUAUUUUUAUUAAUUGCUUUUUAGGGCCGCACCUGAAGUAUAUGGAGGUUCCCACGCUACAGGUCUAAUCGGAGCUACAGCUGCCAGUCUACACCACAGCCACAGCAAUGUCAGACCCGAGCCACAUCUGCGACCUACACCACAGCUCACAGCAACGCUGGAUACUUAAUCCACUGAGUGAGGCCAGGGAUUGAACCUGAGACUUCAUGGUUCCUAGUCAGAUUUGUUUCUGCUGCACCACAAUGGGAACUCCAUAGCAUUCAUUUUAUUUAUUUAUUUAUUUUGUCUUUUUGCCAUUUCUUGGGCCGCUCCCGUGGUAUAUGGAGCUUCCCAGGCUAGGGAAGCGUAUCUGGCCUUGAUGUAGGAGAUGGACAGAGGAUGCUGUAGCCAGAGCAGUGGCUGGCGGGGGAAGCAGAAGAGAUCAUCAGAGAUGAGGAGUGAAACUCACAUCGAGGUUGCCCCCUGGCACCAAAGAAAGGAUGGCAUGAAACAGGAAUGGAGGAGGCGGGGACAUGGCCUGGGAAAGAGGAGCUGGUGUGUGGCACGUGUAUUCGCAGGGCCGGGACCCUAGAAAGAAGAUGCCCUGUAGAUGCACAAACCAGGGAGUGGGUGGGGCAGGCAAACUGGGGUUAGAAAUCCAGCUGUGGGGUCCGCCCUGCAGUUGUGGGGGGUGUGGGCAAGAAGGACUCUCCCCAGGGGGUGUGGGAAGGAGAUGCGGGGAUGGAGUGAGCUCCAGGGAGCCCACCCACCACUUAGUCAGCAUAUGAACAGCCCCACCCCGUGUCUCCAGUCUGCAUGGGAACUCUGCAGAGUGGGUGAUUUUGCCCCCUUUUAUAGAUAAGUCGACUGAGGCUUGAGAAACCACGUUUCUUGUCCAAGGUCAGAUGCUAUCUGGUGGCAGAUCUGGGUCAAGACCUAAGCCCAUGGGCGUCUCCAGCUGGGCCCUUCCUCCUAGUGCAAAGGCUGGACCUUCCCAGCCUUCAAUGAGAUGUUUACACUCAGAACAAAUGAGAUUGGGGCUGGGUUUUAGUUCCUGGGUUACUUUUAGUUUCCUGAGAACUUAGUGCAUCUGUGUUUGGGAGAGGAUGGGGGAUAAACAAAGCGAUUUUCAGGUUCCGGGCAAGUUGUAAAAUCCAGGGACGAAUAAGCAGUGCAAAGCUGGCUUGAGCCCUGGGUCACUUCUUCAAAGGUUCAGCUACUCUGCUGCAACCCAGAGACCCAGACUCAGGACAUCGGGAUAAAUCUGAGUGUGGGCGCACAGACAGGGCGCCCACAAGGGUGAGUCCUGUCUCUUUAGGCAACAGGCCUCAGAGGUGCUUCUGAGCACGUAACUUCUUUCUCACUGGCUUGCUUUAUUUAUUUACUUAAUUAAAAUCAAUACCACAGUGAUGAAAACAGCAGGCUUUGCAAAGCACAAGAAGUCCUCGGAAUCUUUGUCUCUCUUCCCACAUCUGCAGAGGGAUGCAAGUACAUUUCCCUAGGGCUUCAGUUCACUCUCUGUAAAUAAAGCUAAGCCAGUCACUCACACAUCCCCAUAGCCAGGAUCAGACGUCUUAGAGGAAAUUUGCUUGUUACACCCUUGAAUGAGCUCAUAAGGCGUGGUGGAGAAGGCAUCUGUCACCCGAAAUGUGGGAGUCCCCUUUCACAUGGUGGAUCUGUGGCCCACAACUCCUGGGCCAGCCCCACUGCAAUUUGCUGGGGUCCCCCUGUGUCCAGUUCUUUCCCACGGGAGGGGGAGGCUACAGGAAGUCAAGUCAGUCCCAUCCAGGCCAAGCCUUUUGAGAAACCGGCGGGGUUUCUCCAACUCUCCCAUCUGCUGGCUGGAGACAGAGGCCUCUGAGGCUCAGACAGGUGGGCAAAUGUGCGGAGCCAGGGUCUCUGAAUCACUUGAGAAAAGAGGGGCCUGACCUGCAGGAGUCACAUUGCCGGGUUGUUCUAGAGUCUUAAGUCACUGGUAUGUAGAGGGUUAUUUAUAGCUUCUGUGUGACUCUAUCAGAUACAUCUGUAGGUCUAUAAAUGUAUUUACAGACAUGGUGGGGGUGGGUGCACUUUCUGUAGACUCUCUGAGACACCAGUGGAGUCUUUUUUGGAGGCAGUGCCUUCAGCAUGCAGAAGUUCCUGGGCCAGGGAGGAAACCAUGCUGGAUCCUUAACUACUAGGCCACCAGGAAACUCCCAGUGAAAGUUGUUACUAAGUCAAUUGCAUUUGCAUCACAGGAGGGUUCCUAACCAUACAAAUGAUUUGCUGCAGGAUAGCACCUCACCCCCCCUCACCCCAUGCUCUGCAGUGCAAUUAAAAUAUCAUUCUGUUUACAGAUGCUGAUUUCCAUACAGCUUGAGAACAGGCUACCCACGUCAUGAAUGUGUAGGCUGAUUUGCACAGAAGCCGGGGAGGGCCCUGGCUAACUCUGGAUUGCUGAGGCCUUUCCCCCAUCCCCUGCCUCCAAGCCGAUGAGGCCAGGGCAGGUUUCCUCCACAACCACGCAUGGCGCUUCCCACGGCCGUGGGAUCUGAAGCAUGAUGGAAUCCCUGUGAGGCUGUUUCUUCCCGGGCCCUAUAGCACGGAUGAGAAGUCCACACACAAGAAGUCAUAGAGGAGUUCCCCUCGUGUUUUAGUGGAAACGAAUCUGACUAGCAUCCAUGAGGACACAGGUUAGAUCUCUGGCCUUGCUCAGCAGGUUAAGGAUCUGUGAGCUGUGGUGUAGCUUGCAGGUGAGGCUCAGAUCCCACAUUGCUCUGGCUCUGGGUAGGCCAGUGGCUACAGCUCCAAUNNNNNNNNNNNAAAAAAAAAAAAAAAAAAAAAAAAAAAAAAAAGUCGUAGAAACAGCAGAGUGUGGAUUUGAGCUGCAGUGAAGUCACCUCUUGGAGGCGAGCAGGGAAGGUUUCCAGGCUUUUCCUUCUAGAAUAGGAGACUGAGGGCCUGUGAGGAACACAUGGGCACAAGGACCCUGGGGCGAGUGCAGCUGGGGGCCUGGGAGUUGAGGCUGAAGAUACAAGGGUAUGAAGCCAGUGUGUGUGCAGCUGAGACAGAGGCUGGUGGGAGGGAUGCGGGGGAGGAAAGAGAGUCUAAGAAUGACAGUUACGGCGAGGUCACACCAAGGUGACAAAGCAAAUUUAGUGAAAACUCAAGGCAGUCAAGCUAGGGUAAGUGGGUAAAUCCAAGAAAAAGAAUGGAUCCUAAGAACUGAAGACCUUUAAAUCCGUUAGUUGUUUAUAAAGACAGAGUAAAAAUACAAAGAAGGAUAGGAUGUUAAAACACAUCUGUUUUUAUAGGAAUUCCCAUUGUGGCUCAGUGGGUUAGGAACCUGACUAGUAUCCAUGAGGAUGAGGGUUCUAUCCCUGGCCUCACUCAGUGGGUUAAGGAUCCAGCAUUGCCACAUAACUAUGGUGUAGGUCACAGACAUGGUUCGGAUCUGGUGUUGCUGUGGCUGUGGUGUAGGCUGGCAGCUGCAGCUCCGAUUCGACCCCUAGCCUGGGAACCUCCAUAUGCCACAGGUGCAACCCUAAAAAUAAAAAAUAAAAUAAAACAUGUUUUUAUCUAGAUUUGGGGCAGGGGAUGUUGUUUGUUCCUUUUUUUAUGAAACAAAAAAGUGGUUGCAAGUGUAAGCCACUGCCAGAAUUGCAGUUAGGUUCAUAACUCAGUUCCAAAUAUUCUGCUAAAACACCCUGUUGGUCCUGAUGACAGACAGAGACAUCUCGUCUCAGAUUUCCCUCAGAAAGCCUGCAGACUUAGCCCCACAUCUGGCCAGCUCCUGCCAGCUCCUGGCUGCAGAAUGCCAUUCUGUCUAUAAUCCUCCUUCUUGCUCCGUAAACAAAGAGGCAAGGAAUUGAUCUGACCAAGGGCCCCCAAACUAUAGAUAUAUUGCCAAACAAUUAUGAAAAAGCCAAGCAAGUUUUUUUUUGGGGGGGGGGCUUGCUUGUGGCAUGUGGAAGUUCCUAGACCAGGAAUUGAACCUGUGCCACAGCAGUAACCCAAGCCACAGCAGUGACAAUACCAGAUCGUUAACCCGCUGAGCCACCAGGGAACACAAGUUUUCAAAUACUCAGCCCCUAACCAUGUUUAACUACAAAAUCACCAAAGAAGAGAUUCGAAGAGCCAUAGAAAUAAGCUCUGAACAGAGUGAGAGUAUUAAGUGUCCUUCCUGUGUCUGGUCUGCAGCAGUGUUUCUCAGCAUCUCAAAAGCCCAUGAGCAUGCAGAUCCCCUGAGGAUUCUGAUGCUGAAGGUCUAGGGGGAAACCCAGGAUGCUGCCUUUCUGUCAAGCUACCAGGAGAGGCCGUUGCUGCUGGCCCAACCACCGCACAUCGAGAAGCAAGGGUCUAGAGCAAUUCGGAGGCUAAUUAAGAGCUAUAGAUAUUAGAGGCACAGCUUCUGAUCUGGGACUUGAGGUGUGCCAAGAAACUGUGGCACUGACAGAGCUCUGCCCCCAUUCUGAAACUGUCAAGGGUUUUACACACACACACACACACACACACAUGCUUUUGCUCACAUACAUGAAGGAAUCUAUUCAAAACCUAUGCUAAAAUUUUUUUAUUCACACCCUGCCACACACGGGUCACACAUUCAGUCUGGAAGUUUGAACAUUAAUUCUUGAAGUUUCUUUUUGAGUCUCAAUCACAGGAGGAAAUUUUAAAAGCAAACGUCUAAAAUAUGGACUGAUAUCCAGGCAGAUGUGCCAAGUCUCUGAAUACCAAGAACCUCGGCAGGUGGGCAAUGGGGUUUUUAAUCGAUAUUAACAUGCCCCAUGGCACUCAGGUGUUCAACGCCUGAGCCCCCAAAAUGAGUGUGAUUAUCUCGUUCUUCUUAAAUCUGACAGCUGAUGACUGCCAGCCACAUGAAGUGUCCCAGACACCAGGGGAGGAGAUUCAAGGACACUGAGUCUGGGUCAGAUCCCAACACGCCUUUCUCUAAUCCCUCGAGUUAAUGGCCACCUUGAAUUACCUUGGCACUUACAGGGAGGGGCUGUUCUCCAACCUCCAACCAUGUCAUAAGAUCUUCAAACUGAAAAGACUUCCAUGAAAACGGGAUUGGUAUAUGCACACUGUGGUCUGUGGAGGGAUUGUCCAAUGGGGACCUGCUGUAUAGCACAGGGAACUCUACCCAAUAUUCAGUGCUAAGCUGUAUGGGAAAAGAACCUGAAAAAAAAAAAUGGAUGUGUGUAUAUGUAUAACAGAAUCACUUUGUUGUAGAGCAGAAAUUAUCACAAUGUGGUAAGUCAACUAUACUUCAGUAAAACUUUAAAAAAUAAAAAAAAAUGUGAUUUAUCAAUUAGGAAAGUUAACAGCAACCUUUCUUUGAAUAUCUGCUUUGUUUAGAAUUUAAGUUACGUUUGCAUUUUUUUUAAUCAAGCAGUUCAUCCAUACUCAGAAUGAAACAAAACAGAACAUGUGGCCAAACAGGAGCCCUUAUCAGAAAAAAAGCAGGGCUGGAGCAGACACAAACUCAUACUGAACUUGGGAAUCAGUCACUGGGCUGUGGUGGAGAGUACAUGGUGCCCUCUGGGACCUACAUAGGUUCAAAUUUCCCAGUUACCAUUUAAGAGUGCCUGACUUUGGACUAGUCAUUUAGCCUUGUGAACAUCUUAUCUCCUUCACUGGGUCACCAUUAAGAUGGAAUGAGAUAUGGGGAGUUCCCUGGUAGCUCAGCAGGUUAAGGAUCCAGCACUGUCAGUGCUAUGGUGUGGGUUUGAUCUCUGGCCCCAGGAACUUUCGAAUGCCACAGGUGAGGCCAAAAAAAAAAAAAAAAAAAAAA
rnacentral:lncRNA from 1 species